CACUUUUGUUAUAUUAAAUAAAUUGUUAUCCUAAUGGAUAUUUAUCAUUAUACACUUUUGUUAUAUUAAAUAGUUAUUGAUAACUUGAAAUAUUGGCAUGUGAUAUUAGUUAGUUUUAAAAAUAACUAAUGUUAAAUAGCAUUACAAAAUCACUUCAGCAAAAAAUUUUGCCAAACAGCUUUCUAAAAUCACUCCAGCACAAUCACUUUUCUAUCAGACUAAGCCAAACGCUCUACAAUUUUUAAUAGAAAUCACUUUUCCAAACUAAAAUCACUUCUGCAGAAUUCACUUUUCUAGAAGCUAGGCCAAACGAACCCUUAGAGGCCAAGUGAGCUGAGGGAGUAAGGAUUUUUUUAAUUUUCUAAAAAUUUAAAUUAUUAAUUUUAAAAUUAAAUUAAAAUAUUAAUUUAAUUUAAUUUUAAAAUUAAAUUAAAUUUAAUUAAUUUGUGGUAAUUUUUUUUAUUGCCAUUAUAGGUAACCAAACAAUGGCGAUUUAUUUUAUCGCCACCAUAAAUAACUAAAUAGUGGCA
rnacentral:lncRNA from 1 species